AUCCUUCCUGCCGCCACUGGAAGCACGAACAAAGAAGAGUCGCCUUCGUCGGAACCACCGCCGCCACUGCCAGCUUCCACCUCCAUCGUGGUUGACUAUGGAUGAGAGUGGAGGAAAUUACCUCUCUCUGCCGUUGAAAUCCUCCGCCGCUGCUGCUUGCGUCUUGAGCUGCUGCAUCAGCCACCGCGGCAGGUGUCGCUGUUGGAAAGAAGAGCUGCGCCUCUGUGUUCUGGCAACUGGGAGUGGUUCUAUGACUUCCGGGACCACCGCCGAAGCUCCGGGCUGAGCCUCUGCCGCCAAGAACGUCUCUGCUGCCACCGGGUCCCGCCGAUGAAAUUCGGGCUGCCGCCGUUAUUCAGAAUUUAUUAACGGAGCCGUUGCCGAGUCGUUUUGGAGUUGCGGCUGUUUCGUUUCGCUGAUCUAAGUUGGUGAGAUUGUUGAGAACGCAAGUGGAGACGAGUUGCUGGCUGCAGUUGGUUUUGGGUUGAGGCGAAGAGGACUCUGUGAGACUUUUGGACUAUGGAAUUGCGUUUUGAGGAUAUGGGCGCAGAAGUUACGAAGAGUUCAUUUAGUUGUUGUUGAUAUGCUUUGUAUUGUGUUGAUUAUGGUUUAUUGUACCCUCACCUUUAUCUUGAUAUAAUCUGUAAGAGGGAUACGGAUUGUAUUGGAUUAUGUCUGUAAUAUUAUUUAUAUAUAUA